GGUGGGGUGGCCGAGUGGUUGAAGGCGCCGGUCUUGAAAACCGGUAACCCAAAAGGUUCGCGGGUUCGAAUCCCGCCCCCACCG
rnacentral:tRNA from 1 species